rnacentral:misc_RNA from 1 species
GAUGAAGAACGCAGCGAAAUGCGAUAAGUAAUGCGAAUUGCAGAAUUUCCGUGAGUCAUCGAAUCUUUGAACGCACAUUGCGCCCACUGGUAUUCCGGUGGGCAUGCCUGUUCGAGCGUCAUUAUCCUCCCUCAAACCCCGGGUUUGGUGUUGGACCCAAGUUGUGUGAACAGCUGGUCUCAAAGACAAUGACGGCGUCCGUGGGACCCUCGGUGCAACGAGCUUUUAGGAGCACGCAUCGAGUUGCAAGGACCUUCCGGGCCGGUCUCCUUUACCAUUUUACAAGGUUGACCUCGGAUCAGGUAGGAAUACCCGCUGAACUUAAGCAUAUCAAUAAGCGGAGGA